GACGAACGCUGGCGGCGUGCUUAACACAUGCAAGUCGAGCGGUAAGGCCCUUUCGGGGGUACACGAGCGGCGAACGGGUGAGUAACACGUGGGUGACCUGCCCUUAGCUCUGGGAUAAGCCUGGGAAACUGGGUCUAAUACCGGAUAUGACUCCAUGACGCAUGUUGUGGGGUGGAAAGCCUUGUGCGGCUAGGGAUGGGCCCGCGGCCUAUCAGCUUGUUGGUGGGGUGAUGGCCUACCAAGGCGACGACGGGUAGCCGGCCUGAGAGGGCGACCGGCCACACUGGGGACUGGGACGACGACCCGGACCGACGUACCUUACCGGGACGGGGACGGACGACGACGUAGGGGGUAAGGGGUAACUUUCGUUCGGCCGAACUAAGGGUCGGGGAAACGGAAACCGUCCGUACGGACCGACGACGGACCGGACCCGG
rnacentral:rRNA from 1 species